GCGGUCGUGGCGAAGUGGUUAACGCACCAGAUUGUGGCUCUGGCACUCGGGGGUUCGA
rnacentral:tRNA from 1 species